rnacentral:rRNA from 1 species
UACGGAGGGGGCUAGCGUUGUUCGGAAUUACUGGGCGUAAAGCGCGCGUAGGCGGACCUGCAAGUCGGGGGUGAAAGCCCGAGGCUCAACCUCGGAACUGCCUUCGAUACUGCGGGUCUCGAGUCCGGGAGAGGUGAGUGGAAUUCCUAGUGUAGAAGUGAAAUUCGUAGAUAUUAGGAAGAACACCAGUGGCGAAGGCGGCUCACUGGCCCGGUACUGACGCUGAGGCGCGAAAGCGUGGGGAGCAAACAGG